rnacentral:rRNA from 1 species
ACGAACGCUGGCGGCGUGCCUAAUACAUGCAAGUCGAACGCUUCUUUUUCCAUCGGAGCUUGCUCCACCGGAAAAAGAGGAGUGGCGAACGGGUGAGUAACACGUGGGUAACCUGCCCAUCAGAAGGGGAUAACACUUGGAAACAGGUGCUAAUACCGUAUAACAAUCGAAACCGCAUGGUUUUGAUUUGAAAGGCGCUUUCGGGUGUCGCUGAUGGAUGGACCCGCGGUGCAUUAGCUAGUUGGUGAGGUAACGGCUCACCAAGGCGACGAUGCAUAGCCGACCUGAGAGGGUGAUCGGCCACAUUGGGACUGAGACACGGCCCAAACUCCUACGGGAGGCAGCAGUAGGGAAUCUUCGGCAAUGGACGAAAGUCUGACCGAGCAACGCCGCGUGAGUGAAGAAGGUUUUCGGAUCGUAAAACUCUGUUGUUAGAGAAGAACAAGGAUGAGAGUAACUGUUCAUCCCUUGACGGUAUCUAACCAGAAAGCCACGGCUAACUACGUGCCAGCAGCCGCGGUAAUACGUAGGUGGCAAGCGUUGUCCGGAUUUAUUGGGCGUAAAGCGAGCGCAGGCGGUUUCUUAAGUCUGAUGUGAAAGCCCCCGGCUCAACCGGGGAGGGUCAUUGGAAACUGGGAGACUUGAGUGCAGAAGAGGAGAGUGGAAUUCCAUGUGUAGCGGUGAAAUGCGUAGAUAUAUGGAGGAACACCAGUGGCGAAGGCGGCUCUCUGGUCUGUAACUGACGCUGAGGCUCGAAAGCGUGGGGAGCAAACAGGAUUAGAUACCCUGGUAGUCCACGCCGUAAACGAUGAGUGCUAAGUGUUGGAGGGUUUCCGCCCUUCAGUGCUGCAGCUAACGCAUUAAGCACUCCGCCUGGGGAGUACGACCGCAAGGUUGAAACUCAAAGGAAUUGACGGGGGCCCGCACAAGCGGUGGAGCAUGUGGUUUAAUUCGAUGCAACGCGAAGAACCUUACCAGGUCUUGACAUCCUUUGACCACUCUAGAGAUAGAGCUUCCCCUUCGGGGGCAAAGUGACAGGUGGUGCAUGGUUGUCGUCAGCUCGUGUCGUGAGAUGUUGGGUUAAGUCCCGCAACGAGCGCAACCCUUAUUGUUAGUUGCCAUCAUUUAGUUGGGCACUCUAGCAAGACUGCCGGUGACAAACCGGAGGAAGGUGGGGAUGACGUCAAAUCAUCAUGCCCCUUAUGACCUGGGCUACACACGUGCUACAAUGGGAAGUACAACGAGUCGCAAAGUCGCGAGGCUAAGCUAAUCUCUUAAAGCUUCUCUCAGUUCGGAUUGUAGGCUGCAACUCGCCUACAUGAAGCCGGAAUCGCUAGUAAUCGCGGAUCAGCACGCCGCGGUGAAUACGUUCCCGGGCCUUGUACACACCGCCCGUCACACCACGAGAGUUUGUAACACCCGAAGUCGGUGAGGUAACCUUUUGGAGCCAGCCGCCUAAGGUGGGAUAGAUGAUUGGGGUG